rnacentral:rRNA from 1 species
CUUCGGAGGUACUCGAGUGGCGAACGGGUGAGUAACACGUGGGUGAUCUCCCCUGCACUCUGGGAUAAGCCUGGGAAACUGGGUCUAAUACCGGAUAGGACCAUGCUUUAGUGUGUGUGGUGGAAAGUUUUUUCGGUGUAGGAUGAGCCCGCGGCCUAUCAGCUUGUUGGUGGGGUAAUGGCCUACCAAGGCGGCGACGGGUAGCCGGACUGAGAGGUUGGUCGGCCACAUUGGGACUGAGAUACGGCCCAG